rfam:Otolemur garnettii contig093276, whole genome shotgun sequence.
AGUUUUGAAAUUGGCUGUGACAUCUGUCAUUCCACUGAUCACCAGGAUUGAUUCGGCUGAUCUGGCUGGCUAGACAGUGUCCCCUUCCUCCCUCACUGCUCCAUGUGUGUCCCUCCUCACGCUGCAUGCUCAGUUAAAGAAGACGACCUUCCCUAAUAGAGGAGAACCGUUCUUUGGUCAAGGGUAUACAUGUAGCUGCUAGAACCUCCAAACAAGCUUUCAAGGUCCAUCUUUCCUUUUUUUGAAUCCCUGAUGGUAACAUUAAUUUCUGUAAUUCCUCCAGGUAUUCUGUAUUGCUUU